CAGGAGCGUAUAUUAAAGUUGUUGCAGUUAAAAAGCUCGUAGUUGGAUUUCUGGUAUAAUGCGCCUGGCCCGCGGCGGUUACGCCUGUGAGUGCCGGUGCGCGUUUACCAUCCUUCUAGAAAACGUUUCUGCCCUUCAUUGGGUCGGACUCGCGAUCUAGAUCUUUUACUUUGAAAAAUUAGAGUGUUUAAAGCAGGCUUUUGCUGUGAAUACAUUAGCAUGGAAUAAUAACUAGGACUUCGGUUCUAUUUUGUGGUUUCUAUAACUGAAGUAAUGAUUGAUAGGGACAGUUGGGGGGUGCUAGUAUUGGCCGGCCAGAGGUGAAAUUCUUGGAUUCGGUCAAGACUAACUUAUGCGAAAG
rnacentral:rRNA from 1 species